rnacentral:rRNA from 1 species
ACGGAAGGUCCGGGCGUUAUCCGGAUUUAUUGGGUUUAAAGGGAGCGCAGGCCGCCCGAUAAGCGUGUUGUGAAAUGUACCGGCUCAACCGGUGAGUUGCAGCGCGAACUGUCAGGCUUGAGUGCACGGUAAGCAGGCGGAAUUCAUGGUGUAGCGGUGAAAUGCUUAGAUAUCAUGAGGAACUCCGAUUGCGAAGGCAGCUUGCUGCAGUGCGACUGACGCUUAGGCUCGAAGGUGCGGGUAUCAAACAG